AUUCAUCUGCAACUAAACCCUAGUGUCUGGAAAUCAGAUCAGCUUGCAGAGAAAGUAUUACAUAUUAAUGGCGAUCCAGCUAAACCCUAGCAGUGAUGAAUUAUGCAUUUCACCAACUAUAAUACCAAAUUCAUCUACUAAUUAGUAUAUUUACAAGCAGUAUGGAGGUGAAUUAUCCUUCGGGGAGAUGCCGCACGAAAACCAGAAGAAUUUCGAUGCGAGUAGAGAAACCGAAUUGCCGCUAUAAAGUAUAAUGAUUCAGGGAAGACGUGUUUGUGCAAAACUCUUACGAGAAAUUACGCUACUAAAACGAGUGCUUUCGCUCGUGUUUGUGCAAAAGAUUGCUUUUGGAAAUCGAUAUACCGAGAUUCUUCAACGAACAUACACAUCACAGAUCGUAUCAUGUGCUGAAACUGAAACGACAUUCAAGGUUAGUUCUCCACACCCCCAAACAAACAGCCGAUAAUUAUUUAAUUACUUGUAAAUAUAUGUUCUAUUCGUGCGUUAAGUAUAUCGAAAACAGAGGAAAGCGUGGCAUAAAAACAAACGGUGUAUAUUUACCGAGCUGUAUUAAUGAGAAAUGCUGCUAGCUUUUUCCCAAGUUGCAAUUCAAAUUUGUUGGAUUUGAUUUUGGGGCUUUAUUUUCACCCAAACCUGAUUUUAAUUAAAUAAUCACGUGCCGAUUUUCUUCCCAAUUUGCAAACGAAUGAUCCUUCUUGUUUGAUAAAUUAUCAUGUUCAAUAACUUUGCUAGUUUUCUUUCUCUGAUAUGGUGGUGAUUGAUUAUUGCAAUUAAAAGUUCAUUUACUGAAACUCGAGGGUGGGGGUGGGGCUCGGGGCGGGGUGAUCCUCAUUCAUAUCUUUGCUUUAUCCCAUGAUAAGUAUGCUCUUCAUUAGCCUCGAUUUUCUAUUUAGUAGUUCAGUCUUUUUUAUCAAUCAUCAUUUCUCAAUUAAUAUAUAUGCCAACUGUUAACUAGAUUGCUUCAUCAGCAUCGGGGAGCCAAACCAAACAUACUACAAUUCUUGAAAAUUAAUAAAUUUAUAUACGAAAUAUUAGGUUUUUAAGAAUUACUAUAAGUAGGUGAAGGACCAGAGACAUAGGGCAUCUCGUCGGGGACCUCAAGUUCUCUAUCGUUCUAUGUACGAUGUUAUCUAAUUAAAUCCCACUUGGUAUAAAUUUCAUAUUUAUGCUUGUUUUUACGUUAAUUAAUUGUUGCUAACUGCGCUGUUAACUCUAGAUCUCUCUUGUGCCUAUAUGUAUAGGCUCUACAAUGCAUAUAUUAACUAUGAUUGUCUUUAAUUGUUGUGAGAAUCUGUUGGAGCUAUGAACUGGCUACUUUUUGCAGCAGUACGUACUGUGAUAUACUAGCGAGCACCCGAAAAGGGAGACGAAAACAUGGGUUGUUUGCAAUGGGAACUUUUAUUAUGACUUAAAAGGAGAACUUUAUUUAAAAGUCUUGCACUGGUAAAAGAGAUUUGAGUGAGGGCCUUGUUUUGCUGUUAUUGUUAUGUGAAUAGUGGGAUAACAUAGGCUUAAAGUAGACCGGAAAUCGUACGGUUCAGAUUUGAAAUUUAGUAUCGACGUUUAAAAACUUCGAAGUUAAAGACUUGUUCGGAAUCGAAGAUGUUCUGAUGGGAUGCGAUUGCAAUUGGAAAAAGAAAGAAAAGCUAUAAAUGUUACAGGUGGUAUGGGCCACAAUGUAGAAGCCGGCAGACCAAAAGGCACAUGCUAUCUGAUCAUUAACAGUCAUUUUAGAUAAAAAGCAAAAACUAUUAAAUAAAUAUUAAUGUUUUUAAUUAUUGACCCAAAUAAGAUGAUGGAAGGGAAGACAA